ACGUGAGCCGCGCUCCUCCCAGUGCCCGGGACGGUGUCGGGGGCGGGCUGCACGGCGAGAAGGGCAAAAUAAAACCAGCCCGAGAGGCCCUGGCUGGGGUUGAGACUGCAGGAGUAACUUCUGCACCGAGGCAGCGCGCAGCCAGUCGGGGAAGAACUCUGCAACCUGACCGAAAGAAAGUCCGACCCUCUCGGGAGGGCUGCCAGGAUGCUGGAGCGAGUGUCAGGGUCCGAGACUCCCAAGUCGGGCGAGGGCUCCUGCCCCUGGCCAUUGGGUACCCCCCUCCGACCAACACCCCCGUCCCGCUUCAGAGCGUCGGCCCCACAGACCUAGAUGGGCAAGAUACCAAAUACUUUUCUUGGAAUACAUCAUCUUGAUUGAAAACUACUAGGAUAUUUUUGAAAAAAUAGCUCAUUAGCUGGCUGGGGAGAGAAACUUUUAAUUGCCAUUGGAUGGAGAUGGACUCCUCGGCUGGAGGAGGGGAAGGCACCAUGCAUGCGUGGCAGGGAAUGCUGGCCAGCCAGCCAAGCGGGGACUUGGGCCAUGCGCCAUAGCCCCAGCUCAGCUAAAAUCUGAGUUCCUGUCUCAUGACCAGGAAAAAUUAGGCACACAGACAAAUUGAAAGUUGAGGAGAGUAGAAUUUAUUAAAAGAAAGCUCUCAGCAAAGAAAGGGGGUCCUGCCAACAGGCUCUCACCUCACAUAUUGAAUAUCAGACCACCACACAGGAGCUGAAGAGGACAGGCUUCUCCCUGCAUAAAGAGUGAAUUCCUGGUGUCUCCACCCUGUUCUCCCAGUGUACAUACAGGCACUGUUCUAGGCAUUGAAGAUACAGAAGUAACCUAAAUGGAUAUUAACUUUUCUCAUGGUGUUCCGGUGUGGGAAGACAGACAAUAAUAAUACAAAAGAGUGAAUAUGUGUCAGAGUGUGAAGAGAGUUUUGGAGAAAAAAGACAGAGUUGGUAGAUAGUACUGGGGUUGCUAUUUUAGACAGGAUGAUCAGGAAAAAUCUCUUUAAUUUGGUGAAAAUUAAGCAAACACCAAAAUGCAAUGAGGUGGCUAUGUUGGGGAAAAUGUAAAUUACAAUUUAUAAAAUGCAUUACAAAGUGUAUUAUUUUAUUUGAGUUCUACAACAACUGUAGGAAGCUAGAUAUAUAUUAUUAUCAUUCUUAAUCUUGUGGAAACUACAGUUAAGAGAGGGCAAGGGAGUUGAAGUUACCUGCCUAGUAGAGAGGGGUGUUAUAUUUAAUCCAAGUCAAAUAUUACUAGUUCAGCAACAGGUCUUGACAAAAUUGCUUACUUUCUCUAAGCCUCAGUCACCUAAUUAUUAAGAUGGGGAUAAUAGUAAUAGUGACCCCAUAGAGUUGUGACAAUUGUAAGAUGAUCUGUAUAAAUCAAUUUAGUGUUUGGCAUAGGCGUCUGACAAGCCUUGACUCUAGAUCAGGGGUCAGCAAACUAUUGCCCUCAGGCCAUAGCCGGUCUGCUGUCUGUUUUUGUAAAACAUGCGAGCUAAGAAUGGUUUUUACAUUUUAAAUGGUUGGAAAAACCAAAAGAACAU
rnacentral:lncRNA from 1 species